GGAGAAGCAGAGGACAUUAUUCCCUGGAAGCGGAAGCACACAAGUGAGCACGUAUGAGAUUCAUAGCUGCUUUUCGGUGAGAAUUAAGAACAACCACUCGACUUCUGCCAACUGACUCUCUUUCAGGAUCAAUUACCUUUUUUUCAAAAUGGACAUUGAUCAGAAGAAUCAUAAUAUACUUCUCAACACAAACUACUCAAUUCGUUCCAGUCCGAAUUGCCUCAUCCAAAAGAACACGGCAAGUGCUACAAUAGCAAGGAGUUUUUCCCCCUACUCUGUCUCUAUUAAAAUGGUCUGAUUGCCCCUUGUCCAUUUCUAAAUGAUAGAUAAUAUCCUCUCCUUUUUUGCUUUUCUUGUCUAUUAUGUCCUUUAUAGAAAACCUAAAAUGAGGCAUUUCCUGCAAGCCUGCAGAGAGAGAAGCCUGAAUAGGAAGCUGAAAGGGAGUAUAGAGACCAGGAUAAAAGGCAGUUAUUAAAUUUGUGAACUCUAUCAGAAGACAAGAAAAUAAACUGUACCACUGGCUGGAAGGGUAGUGAAGUAUGACAUUUCAUUUUUAUGCCGGUCUCAGCAUGAUAGAAGUAACACAUUGAAGAACACUGCAAAAAAGCAGUUAGUGCAUUCAUUGAAUGCCAGCAUGGUUCCUCUGCUGUUCUUUGGUUGAUCCUUUUCUGUGUCUUUGUGGAACAGUAGUUCAGAGAUUCAUAUAUAUGAGAUCAGACCCACCAUCAACCCUUUGUGAAUUUUUACGAUGAGAGGCCCGAAGCAAAUUCUAUGUAACUCCACGAGAUCCAGUCCCAGGUGUGCUUUAUACCCUCCCACAUUUUCUCCUUCAAUGUCUGAAUGAAGUCUCAGUCUCUCUCUCUCUCUCCUUCUCCCUCCACCCUCUCUCUCACCCACACAGCCUAAUAGAAUAGGGGGUGUAUAUAAUGUUCUUAUGUUAAGAAUUCUUAGACAUUUAAUGGACAUUUAAUUUUUACUUUAGUUCAUAAAAAUAGUAUUAAAACUGAAUAUUUCUCAUUCUUUCUAGUUCUUUUAGAUAUCACAUAAACAGAUAUUAGGCAAAUAAGCAAGUGUGAUAUCUCUUUUACUUACAUUUUUAUAACUUAUUAUAAAAAGUGUUCGAUGAGCUCUGCUAAAUGGUGAACACAAUACAAGUAUAUGUUAGUUUUAGAUACACACUAUUCAACAACUCUAUACAUUAUGCUGUGCUCACCUCAAGUGUAGCUACCAUCUGUCACCAUACAACACUAUUAUAAUACCACUGUCUAUAGUCCCUAUACAGUACCUUUCAUCUCUGUGACUUUCUCAUUCCAUAACUGGAAACCUGAACCUCUUACUCCCCUUCAUCCAUUUUGCCCACCCCCCAUCCCCUCCCCUCUGACAACCACCAGUCUGUUUAUUGUCUUUGUGGUUCUGUUUCUGAGCUUUGUGUGUUUGUUUUUUCAGAUUCUACAUAUAAGUAAAAUCAUACAGGAUUUGUCUUUCUUUGCCUCACUCAUUUCAUUUAGCAUAACAUCCUCU